CAGCCGCCGCGGUAAUACGAAGGGGGCUAGCGUUGCUCGGAAUGACUGGGCGUAAAGGGCGCGUAGGCGGCAUGUACAGUCAGACGUGAAAUUCCUGGGCUUAACCUGGGGGCUGCGUUUGAUACGUGCAGGCUAGAGUGGGGAAGAGGGUUGUGGAAUUCCCAGUGUAGAGGUGAAAUUCGUAGAUAUUGGGAAGAACACCGGUGGCGAAGGCGGCAACCUGGUCCUUGACUGACGCUGAGGCGCGAAAGCGUGGGGAGCAAACAGGAUUAGAUACCCCCGUAGUCCCUGUCUCUUAUAC
rnacentral:rRNA from 1 species